rnacentral:rRNA from 1 species
UAGGGAAUAUUCCACAAUGAGCGAAAGCUUGAUGGAGCGACACAGCGUGCACGAUGAAGGCCCUCGGGUUGUAAAGUGCUGUUGCAAGGGAAGAGCAGUUAGUUGAGGAAAUGCUUCUAAUCUGACGGUACCUUGUUAGAAAGCGAUGGCUAACUAUGUGCCAGCAGCCGCGGUAAUACAUAGGUCGCAAGCGUUAUCCGGAAUUAUUGGGCGUAAAGCGUUCGUAGGCUGUUUAUUAAGUCUGGAGUCAAAUCCCAGGGCUCAACCCUGGCUCGCUUUGGAUACUGGUAAACUAGAGUUAGAUAGAGGUAAGCGGAAUUCCAUGUGGAGCGGUGAAAUGCGUAGAUAUAUGGAAGAACACCAAAGGCGAAGGCAGCUUACUGGGUCUAUACUGACGCUGAGGGACGAAAGCGUGGGGAGCAAACAGGAUUAGAUACCCUGGUAGUCCACGCUGUAAACGAUGAUCAUUAGUCGGUGGAAAACUACUGACGCAGCUAACGCAUUAAAUGAUCCGCCUGAGUAGUAUGCUCGCAAGAGUG